GUCACACGACAUUGCUGCCCGCAGGCUGGCCUGGGACCAGGGGCCAGGGACCAUAAUCUUUGUGCCUGUGAAUAAUAAGAAAGGUCUCUUUGAAAAGGCAAGUAAUUCCGUUAAAAUGGGCACCCAAGACAGAUGAGCAUCUUCUCCAGGAUUUUGGAAGGAGUGAGACUACCAACAUCACUGAAUCACCUCUUGUGUUACAAACAGCAAUGACGAA